rnacentral:rRNA from 1 species
AACGUAGGGGACAAGCGUUAUCCGGAUUUACUGGGCGUAAAGCGCCCGUAGGCGGCCUGACAAGUUGGACGUGAAAGCUCCUGGCUUAACUGGGAGAGGCCGUUCAAAACUGUCAAGCUAGAGUCUGGAAGAGGAGAGCGGAAUUCCCGGUGUAGUGGUGGAAUGCGUAGAGAUCGGGAGGAACACCAGUGGCGAAGGCGACUUCCUGGCCUGUUCUUGACGCUGAGGCGCGAAAGCUAGGGGAGCAAACGGG